rnacentral:miRNA from 1 species
CCUCCCGGGUCGGAAUCUGCAGUAACAGGUGUGAGCACUCUGGCAGCCGCUUGGUGGUCAUGUAUGAUACUGCAAACAGGCG